UCUAGAGUAUGACCCCUAGAAGACCACACCCAUAAUUAACAUUGGGAAAUACCAACCCUAAUAAUUACAAUGGAAAACACAAACUUAUUUAAUAUCAUAGACUAUUAGGAAGUUCUAGAGAAGUAUACAUUUUUCAAGAAUUCACCGACUCUUUGACCGACUCUACCAACGGAAAUGCUACAACCUUCUUUUGACGACCGGUACAAACAAGCCAAAGAGUGAACGUCCUGGUUCGAGUGUUCGCGCGACCUAGUUGGCUGGUUCGAGUGUUUGCCGAACGCUGAGACUCUCACUCUCUCGCCGUCUGCCCUUCUCCACUUCUCUCAGAGAUCAACUCAUCAAAUGGAUUGAAGAUUGAGGUCAAGGAUCUACGAUGUGGGUUUAAUUGAUGUGAAAAAUUAUCAAGGUCAGUAGCACUAGCACUGGCAAAUGCUUCUUGAGUUCUUUCUGUACUGGCGGAUGAGUUCUUUCUGAAAAAUUAUCAAGGUCAUUAGCACUAGCACUACCAUCUUUAAUUCGCUAGCACUGGUGGAUGCUUCUUGAGUUCUUUCUGUACCAUCUUUAAUUGCUUAUUUUUAGAGACUUCAGAUUCUUUCAAGUAUCAUUGUUGCUGGAAAAUUGUACUGAAACAAAUAUUUUUAGGUGUUUAUUAGGUGGUUCCUCAA